UACGUAGGUGGCAAGCGUUGUCCGGAUUUACUGGGCGUAAAGAGCGCGCAGGCGGUCGAUCAAGUCGCGUGUGAAAGCCCCCGGCUCAACUGGGGAGGGUCACGCGAUACUGAUCGACUCGAAGGCAGGAGAGGGUAGUGGAAUUCCCGGUGUAGUGGUGAAAUGCGUAGAUAUCGGGAGGAACACCAGUGGCGAAGGCGACUACCUGGCUUGUUUCUUGACGCUGAGGCGCGAAAGCUAGGGGAGCAAACGGG
rnacentral:rRNA from 1 species